rnacentral:lncRNA from 1 species
UUUUUAUGAACCAUAUAUCUCAAAUCCCUGAAAAUUUCCCAGAAAAAUUGAAAGAUAUUUUAACUUAUCUUUUUAAAGCCGAAAAAUAUAUAGAUAUUUCUUUUGAAACCAUUCCACCUUUAUUUCAACCCGAUGGAUCAGUAGUACCAGCCUAUCAUCAUGUAUAUAUAAAACAUAAUAAAGAACCACUCAUCCCUCAACAAGAACCAGAAUGGGAAAUGACCCGUUCAAAUGAAUUUCCAGAAUUUUUUACUCGCUUUAGAGCUUUUCAAAUCUAUGAUCUUAUACCAACCCGGAAUAAAUUAUUUCAUCUCAUUGGCGAAACAAAAACCAUGUCUAUAUGGAGAAUAAAACCUUUAGAACACAUCAUUGUUCCAAACCCUUUUAUUACUUCUGAAGAACAGGAUUUUAUAACCGAACUCAGUGUAGAUAUACCGGAACCAUCUUCCUACCUCAGCGAUGACGCAUUAUUUUGGGACAACCUGGACGAUGAAAGUUAUCAUAAUCUACAAAAUGCAAUGGAAGGAUGAUGUCAGCAAUGACGAUAUUGAAGCAGUAAAUGCGUCUUCAACUACAAAAAUUAAAUAUGACAGUGCAAGUUCAGAAGCAGUAAAGACAUCCACAAGCCACGUAUUAUGCAUGCAAUAAAAAGAAGAAAAAGGACAAGAGAAAGAGACAAGAAGGGAGAAGAACGGAUGAAUAAACAAAAGUCAAAGUCUCAAAAGUCUUUGUAUUUAUUACCAAACCUCUGAACACCGUAAAUAUUUUUCCUACCAUCCAACCACUUGAAAUUAAUUUUCACCUGUAAUCUCACCUGUCACUUGUAAAUGCUUUGCCUAUAAAUUAGUGGUAGAAAAAGAAAAGAGGUGUGCCCGAGAAAGUGUGUGCAAUAGUGUGCAAAGUUGUCUGUAAAAAGAAGCUCCAUCAUCUUCAUCUUUGUAAAUUCAUCAGCAAUCAAUAAGAAAGUAAGAAUUUUCUGUUAAAUUUUUUGCCUUCAUUUAAAUUUCUUUAUCAUGUAUUUUUCUUACCCUUAGGGGGUAAAAAGGGGUAAAAAGGUAAAGUAGGGAAAUGAAAAUUAUUUGAAUUAUUUUUAAGUUUUCUUUACUAGUUAAUAUAUGUAAUAUACAUGGAUCCUUUUUAUAUAAUGUUCUCAUCAACAUAAAAAAAAAAAAAAAAAAAAAAAAAAAAUCGGGUUAUUUAGAAAAUUUUGGGUGUAAAAUCAUGUUUUAAAAACUAGAGUCUUUAGUCUUAACCCUUGACCUCAAACCCGUUUUUGCCGGAAAAUUGGCGUUUUAGGGAGACUAUGUCUGGUCAGAAGGGGGGUAUUACCUUGACACGAAGUGAUGUUUUAAUUGAAUUUUACUACCUGAAUUUUUGAGAUAUCCGAUUUAAAAAACUUAAAUUUUAUACGUUCAUAAGCACAAAACCCUUUUAUUAUUUUAUUAGGUGUUUGAAAAUUUUAUAUUAUUUUAAUAAGUCUUUGUAAAAUUUUACACUAUAAUAUUAAGUUUUCCAAAAACCUUAUAUUAAAAUAUUAAGUUGAAAAAUAUUUUUAUAUUAAAAUAUUAAGUUGUUUAAAAAUUUUAUAUUAUUUUAAUAAGUCUUUGUAAAAUUUUACACUAUUUUACACUAUAUACACUUGAAUUUUCACUUUCAAAGUCUAAUUCACUAAUAAGUUCUUCUUCUUCACUAUCUAGCUGAUACUCAUUUAUUAGGUUUAUUUUUAAUUGGGUUUUUCUAUUUCGUUCAUUUAAUGGUUUUUUAAGCUCAGGACAUUCAGGUCUUAUAUGGCCUUCCUGACCACACAAAUAACAUUUACACUGUCUUUUUCUUUCUAAGGUUCUUUUUCUUUUUAUCCAAAGCUUUCCAGGUUUUUUAUACCUUGUAUGAUAUGGUCGUUUUUUAUAAAAGGUUUUUGACUUUCUUCUUAAAAAUUUAUUAUAUCUCUUAGGUUUUCUAAACUUAUAUUCUCUGCAUCCUAUAUCUAGAUUUUCUCCUAUAUGUAAUUUUCUACAAAGUUGUUGAUUUAUGUCUUGUUUCUUUAUCUGACUUCUUUCUCCUAUGCUUACACAUUCUCUUUCUAACCAAUUUUUUACAAAUUCUAUUCUAGCACCUAUAUAAGGAGAGUUUUUAUACUCGGAGGUUGUAAAUUCAUUCCAUAGUCUAAGUCCUACGGGUCCUUGUAUUUUUAAUAUAUAUUUAUUUAAAUAUUCUGGGGUUCUGUCUACUCUAGCAAGGAUUGCAUAUUUCCUAAAUUUUUGUUCAUAUUCUCUUAUAUAUGAAAGGUUACAUAAUUUCAAUUGUUCUAACUUAUGAAGGUAUAUUACAGGUUCCUUUACAUCUUCUUGUGUUGUUCCUAAAAAAUAAAGUUUUAUUAGAUUUAUAAAUACAGAUAUGCUAAAAUUAUUUAUGACUUCUUGAAAAUAGCUGCUGUUUUCUUGUUCCAUGUUUCUAAAAAAUUGUAGUACGGUUCCUCUAAGGGUGCUUUUACAAAAUUCAUAAAUUUCUUGUUGGUUUUCAAAGGAUACUACCACACCUGCUGAAUUUAAAGAUUGCUCCCAAUUUUCUAUGGUUUUUCUAAGAUCUUGCGCACUAUCUAUAUCUAAUAUUGUUCCAUAUUCGUAUAUUGGUUGCAAAGAACUAGAAGGUUCUGUUUUAGUUUUCCAUUGAGGUCCUUUUGGCUUGCUAUACGACUUAUUGUAUUUUACUAUUUCACUUUUUACAUUUACAAUUUCUUUUUCUUCAUUUAUUGUAUUUAUUGAUUCGUUUGAGAUUAUUUCUAUGUUUUCGUUAACUUUUGGUUGAAUAGUAAAUUGAUUUAUCAUUUCUAUAUCUAUAAGUUUUUUGAUUAAAUUGGUUUUAUAGAGUUGUUCUAUUAUUUGGUCAUCUGUAUAGUUGUUACACAUUAUAUUAGCAAAGUUUUCUUGAUCCACUUGUUCAUCUAGUAAUGUUGGAUUACUAAAUUCCUCUAACAUUAUAUUUACUAACUCUGAGUUUUUGUAUAGGUUUUCUACUGUCUCAAUGUUUAGUAAAAUAUCUUCUUGUAUAACAUUUACAUUUUCUAUCUCAUUAUCUGACUCUACCUCUACAUUUACAGUUUUAUAAUUUCCAAAGGUUAUACUUGCACUUCCAUCUUGGUUUUCAUAUAAGCUACUGGAUGUUGGAUAUCUUAUUAUUGGUUUAUUUAUUUGAGGUAAUUCCCACUCUUGUCCUAGUAAAUAGUCUAUAUUUACAGGUUUUGCUUCUAUCAUAUUUACUGUCUUACUUCCAAAGGUUUUUACUAUAUCAUCGAAUUCCAUCAUACAUUUUAAACUUAAAGCAUUAGUAGUUUUUCCUAUAAAUCCUAUAGCUAUGCUAAGGUUUUUACUUCCUACUUCCAUAUCAUAACCUUUAGUAUUUACAGUUAUUUUUAUUUUUUCUGUGAAUUCCUUAAGAUCUAUACAAAAUUGAGGUAUACAACCAAUAACUGCGUAAUUUUGGUUCAUAUUAACUUCUGCACUAGCUAAAAGAGCUCGUCCUACUGUGUUGUUUCUAGUAUCUAAAAGGUUAAUAUUUAUAAGUGCUCCAAUUUCUUUACGAUGAAGUCCUAUUAUUCCUAUCAAAAUUAUUCCUAGGUGCAUAUAUUUAUCGGUUUUAUUUUUUAAUAAUUUUUGUUUUGUUUCUGGAGAUACUAAAUCUAAAUAUACAAUAUUUCCUAUUGAACUUAUAGUAUGUUGAUUUAAAAAUCUAGUUAUUUUAUAAUUUUGAACUAAUUGUUUUUUGUAAGGUGUUACUUCCUUUACUGCCUUUUUUGAUUUUUCUUCAAUAAAUUCUUUUACAUUAUCUCGAGGGUUUAUUGCUUCUACUAUUUCCAUGGUUUUAUUGCUAGAUUUUUUGGUUCAAAAGGAUUUAUUUUUCUUUCUAUUUUGAUUAUUGGUUUUUCUCCUAAAUUAAAGUUUUCAAAUUGUUUUAAAAGGUUAUUUAAUUUUUGUUCCUCUGAUAUUACUAUAUUUCUUUGUUCUAAAAGUUUAUCUACUUUUUGGUUAAUUUUUUCUAAAGUUUCUUUUAAAUUUUGUUGUUCUAAUUUUAUUUGUUCUAUUUCUUUUCUAACAAAUUUUUCUUCUCUAGCUAAUUGUUCUUUAAUAUAAUCUAGGUUAUUUCUUAGCAAAUUAUGGUUCUUAAAGUCUUCCAGCUUCUUUUCUAAUUCCUAAGACCGUGUUCAGUUUUUCUACAGAUUUUAUUUGUCUUUUCUGGAUUUCUUUUAAAAUAUCUAUAAAUCAAUCAUUCAUAAGGAAAUCACAUAUGUUGGACCCCCACCAAAGCCCGAUCUAUAUUGCAUGAAUUAAUCUCAUAAAUUUCAUUAUUCGGAAUUACGGAAAAUUCGUUCCUACUUAUUAAAAUCAAGAGGAGCAGAAGAUCAUUUGAAAACCAAAAUAGAAUUAAAAAUAUUUGAGAGAAAAUUAGAUUUUUGAAAUUCAAUUGAAAAAUUGGAACCUUGAAGAUCACUAGAAAAUUGGAGUUUUAAAGUUUAUUUGAAGAUCAGACUUUUAGAGAUUGAAUGUGAGAAUGAGAAUUUUUAGAAAUUGAAUUUGAAAAAAUGUUGGAGAAUUUGAAAAAUGAUUUGAGAGUUCGGGAUUUAAAAUAAGUGGAUAAGCGGAGCGAAUAAGUAAAUCAAUGGGAUAGUGACGAUGGUGAAAUAAUAAAGAUCAGGUAAAUAAUUACGAGAGAUGGAAUUUUUAGAGGUUGGAGAUUAAACUUAUAGAUUAAAAAUUUAAGAAAUUAUUUAGAGAUGAGAUCUUUAAUAUAUGAACAAGUGAACAAAUAAAUGGACGUGAUGACAUUAAUAACGAAAAUAAUUACUAAACAGUUGAAUGUGAACAGUGGAGUUUUUGAUAUUGGAAAUUAAAUUUGGACGUUGGGUUUUUGAAGAAUUGGACUUUAAUUGUAUGAAUAAAUAGAUGACCAUGAGAUAAUAAUACUAGUUAACGAGAAUAAUAUUUAGGCGAAUAAAGAUGAAUAGUAGGAUUUUGGGGAUUGAAAAUUUAAUUAGGACAUUGGAUUCUUGAAGAAUUGGGCUUUAAGGAAUGAGAUUUUUAAGGAGGAUGAGUAAACACAUGAGGAAUACUAAUAAUGAUUAACAAACAUAAUAUUUAAACAAAUGAAAUUGAAUAGUGGAAAUUUGUGUGAUUGAAGAUUAAUUUGAAACUCGGGUUCCGACAAAAAUGAUGUUUGAACGGGUGAAAGUGAGUAGUGGGAGUUUGAAAAUUAAGUUCGAAAGUCGGAUCUUUGAAUAAUUGAACUUUGAUUAUUAAAAUUUUUAGAAGAAAGAAAUAAGUAAACGUGGGAUUUAUAAUAAUGAUAACAAAAAAUGAUAUUUUUAAAUGAAUAAAAGUAAAUGGUGGAAUUUUUGAAUCUAAGGGUUAAAUUUGAAAAUCCGAUUUUGAGGAAUUGAAUUUUAACGAUUGAAAUAAAUAAAUAAAUAUGGAAUAAUGAUGCUAAUUAACAAAAAUGAUGUUUAAACAAAUAAAAAGAAUGAAUAGUGGAAUUUUUCUAAUUGAAAAUUAAAUUAGGGCAUUGGAUUUUUUUAAAGAUUAGACUUUGAAUAAAUUGCUAGGUAUGGGAUUAUAAUACUAAUGAAUACGAAUAAUAUUUAGGCGAACAAAGAUGAAUAGUGGAAUUUUUGGGAUUGAUAAUUUAAUUCAGAAAUUGGAUUUUCGGAGAAUCGGACCUUAUAUAAGUAAAUAGAUAUGGAAUGAGAAUUCUAAUUAGCAAAAAUAAAAUUUAGACGAAUAGCGGAAUUUCUAGGAUUGAAAAAUUAAAUUAGUAUAUGAGAUUUUUGAAUGAUUGGACUUUAAAUAACUGGAUGAAUAUAUGAUGAUAAUUCCAAUUGAUGAAAAUAAGACUUAAAUCAAUUAAUGAAAAAUUAAAUUAAGAUAUGGAAUUUCUGAAAGGGUUAGACUUUAAAUAGUUAGAUAAUAUGAGAUAAAUAAUUCUAAUGGAUAAAAAUGAUAUUUGAACUAAUUAUUGAAAAGUUAAAUUAAGAUAUGUGGUUACUUUGAAAGAUUUAGACUUUAAAUAGUUAGAUAAUAUGAGAUAAAUAAUUCUAAAGGAUGAAAAUGAUAUUUGAAUUAAUUAUUGAAAAAUUAAAUUAAGCCAUGGGAUUUUUGAAAGAUUAGAGGUAUAGAGAGAUUUAUUUCUUUUUGGAAUUGAGGCAACCAAAUGGGCUAGCUCAACAUGGGCUUGGGCCAUGAGGGUGGCUAGCUUGAGGAGCCAUGAGGCCCCCCCAUCAACAAGCUUGGGCUGGGCUCCAAACUCAAGUCCACAUCCAUGCUAUGGGCAAGCCCAAUGGGCUGACUUGAUCACAAACUUGGGCUGGUGCUCCAACCCAAGCCCAAAUCCAAAGCUACCAUGGGCGGGCUCAAAAACCCAUCUCAAACCCAAGCCCAAAACUUCAUCUUCCUCCAGCUUGCUUCUCCACCCGAAUAUCAUCCUCAAAGGGAGCUCCCACCACCGGCGGCAAGAUGGAGAGAGAAGUCGUGGCGGCGGUCCGGCGGCAUCCAGAAGGUGCCGCCGUCACGGUGGCUGGUGCAAGUGCCCACAUGGCUGGAGCGGUGAUGGCGGUUGGUGAGGAGCAGUGGCGGCAGUCCCGGGGUGCUUGCAGCAAAGAAAAAAAAAUGAAGGAUGGGGCGGCUCGCGUGCAUGGGGCACCGCUUGCAUGGGAAUCCAAGAUGGUGAAACAAAUGGGUAUGAAGAUGAGUGGGGACAUUAUUGAUAGCAUGGACGGCUGGUGAUAAUGGAGAUAUGAAUCACAAAGUGGUGGGAUGGGUAUGAGGAGUUUAAUGAGAGAAAGCGGGUGUGAGAAGUUCGGUAAGUGCAAGUGAGAAGUUCAUGAAGAUUUUUGAGAGGAUGGGAGGUGGAUGAACGACCUGGUUCACUGAACCUCGGCAGGUUGGUUAGUGAAGGCAUUGCUCCACCAAUCAGUCAAAAACAGAGUGAUAAAGAGAGGAAGAAAAGCAUGGAAAUAUAGAGUGAACCUAGCUAUAUUUCAUGGGUAGUCAAUAGAGCUGGGGGCAGGCAUCAUAAACAUGGGACAAGAGCAUGAUUCUUUUAUCCAUAUCAGGUUCGUGAAUGAAGUCACGCGUCAAAUGUUCGCAGGGGAAGCCCAGGAAGCCAAAGAAAAAUUAAACAGAGCAUACAUACACAUAAACAGCUUUAGCAAAACAAAUCAGUAAUUUUUGGUGCCCAAACCGAUCAACAGAAAAUAAAUCAUACCUAUGAACCCAGAGAGUUUCUUCUGUGUGGCAGCAAAGGCACCCCUCCUCCUUCCAGCUUUCUUUUUUUUUUCCUCUCUUCCUCUUUGAAUCUCUCCUUUUCUCCUAGCCCCUCUCUCCGUUCUCCUUCUUUUCCCUUUCUCCUAUCUUCUCGGCAAGCCAUCACCUGCUUUCCUGUUUCAGCAGUCAGCAGCAUGGCGUCUCUUGCAGCUGGUCCCACGCAUGGAGAGGGGUCCCCCCCACACUUCUCGGGUGCAGCAUGAGGGGUCUACAGCUAGAUAUAGAUAUGGUAUCUUAAGAACCAAUUACACAUAUCUUAUCCUAUCCCACCCACCACACUUAUCUCAGAUGUAAAAGGUAAAGAUAUGCCUGAUUGAUAUCAAUAGUCAGCAUAAAGCAGCCCUUAAGUCCUCAUUCUUGGAUGCUUGUGUGGUCAUAAUUAAUUUGGUUUGCACUGGGGGAUAUUGUUUAUAUUACAAAAGUCAGGCAGGGACAGAGAUGACUCCUUUGAAAUCUGAUCCAUUAACCUUCCCUCCAGAGUCCAGACAAAUGCUUCGUGUCUUUUGACCAAUAUUCAGUGGAUUUUGACAGAAAUGGCAUUUUAAAAAUAUAUUGUUGUCUUGGUUAUAAUAUUUAUAGAGUGCAGUUGGAUGAAUAAGAAAUAUUAAAAAUUAUUUGUGAGGAAGU